ACCAGCACCACUCUGAUCUCUCUCACCAUUUUUUUUUUCUCCACCUGCAGGUUUAUGUGACCGGAAACAAAAAGAAGUUUCCAGAGCGAUCCGGAAAGCUCGGUGCAUGGGGUUCAUGGCUGUCACCCACAAACACCCGCAGCUGAUGAAGGAUCCCAACAUCUGCAACGUCAAACACCUGGAAUAGUGCGUUGUGCCCGCUCCUCACUGAGCUGAUGUUCCAUUGGACCAUGAAGCCGCUGAAGCUUUAGAGUCCUUCAGGUGUCACGGGCGUCUUGGUGGCUUUCCUCACUCAGCUCAUCCUUCCUGCUGCAAAGAUGGUUACGAGACGAGUCGGUCUCCUGCAGGUUCUUCAUCAGUCUCCUGCAGGUUCUUCAUGACGUUGACAGCUGGCUGUUUAAGUCCUGAUUGAGCUGCAUUAAA